GUUCCCUCGUGAGCAACAUCACAACAUGAUUAUGUUAUUUUCAGAAUGCACAUCUUCGUUUCUCUUCUGGUGUUCUGUUACUUGGUCCAGGACAACUUCAGUCAGAUAUAAUUCUUGCGUAGUUGAUGGCAAUCUGGUGUUAAGUGUACCUUGCGAAUUUUGUUUGUGGAUAGCGCUACAGUAGCAAUUGAUGUUAUAACUCUCUACACUGAAGAACUGUCAAAUAAGAGACUUAGAGUUCUGCUCAGUGCUCAGUUUUCAAAUUCCAGUUUCUCAAUGUUAUCUCUUCCAUCUUCUAAAACAGUCGGUGGUUAUUGUCUGUUGGAUUAAAGCUGGCAAAUAAAGUUAUCUUUUUCCCUUUGAA